rnacentral:rRNA from 1 species
UGGGGAAUAUUGCACAAUGGGGGGAAACCCUGAUGCAGCGACGCCGCGUGAAGGAAGAAGUAUCUCGGUAUGUAAACUUCUAUCAGCAGGGAAGAUAGUGACGGUACCUGACUAAGAAGCCCCGGCUAAUUACGUGCC